AACGUAGGUGGCGAGCGUUAUCCGGAUUUACUGGGCGUAAAGGGCGCGUAGGCGGCCACCGCAAGUCGACUGUGAAAUCUCCGGGCUUAACUCGGAAAGGUCAGCCGAUACUGCGGGGCUAGAGUGCAGAAGGGGCAACUGGAAUUCUCGGUGUAGCGGUGAAAUGCGUAGAUAUCGAGAGGAACACCUGCGGCGAAGGCGGGUUGCUGGGCUGACACUGACGCUGAUUGUGCGAAAGCUAGGGGAGCGAACGGG
rnacentral:rRNA from 1 species